UACGUAGGGACCAAGCGUUGUUCGGAUUUACUGGGCGUAAAGGGCGCGUAGGCGGCAAUUCAAGUCAUCUGUGAAAUCUCCGGGCUUAACUCGGAACGGUCAGAUGAUACUGCGGGGCUAGAGUGCAGAAGGGGCAACUGGAAUUCUCGGUGUAGCGGUGAAAUGCGUAGAUAUCGAGAGGAACACCUGCGGCGAAGGCGGGUUGCUGGGCUGACACUGACGCUGAUGCGCGAAAGCUAGGGGAGCGAACGGG
rnacentral:rRNA from 1 species